rnacentral:lncRNA from 1 species
ACCCCGUCCUGUGGGGGUUGUCCAUUAAUGGACCAUCUACCAUCCGAGUCACGGCACCAGAAAUGUCAGGUAAAAGGGCCAAAAAUCAAGACCAGAUCGGGCCACAACAAGCCUUUAUUAAGGAACAGAUCUGCUAGGCUGUCUCUGAACAAAGGAGAGGCAAAAGCAAUAUGGCUGGGACAGGGACAGUCUUUUAUAGAGACUGGGGUGGGGUUUGUAGGGGCUGAGGUGGGGUUGAGUGAGGUAGUGACUAGGGAAUGGAGGAGCCGGUGAUGUCACUAGAUGGUAGGAGGUGAGCGAGUAUUAGGUUACUUUCUAGGUGGGAACAGGGGCAUGCUGGGAAGAAGGGUUUGUUCUUUGGUGGGAGCAACCAUCUUGGCAUGAUGUCACACAGGGAAGGGGGCGAGGCACCAUAGGAAGAGGGCAGCUACUACACAUAAUAGCUGCUGAGGUAGUGGGAGACCUAUCAAAAUCAAGGUGUGGUAAGUGUUCUGAAGAAAGCAAAGCAGGAGGAAGGGGGAAAGUGAGUGACAGGAGUGUUCUCUCUACAGGAUGGCAGGCAGGGCCUCUCCAAGGAGCCACACCCCAGCAGAGAGCUGAAGGAGGUGAAGGAGAGAUGCGGGCAGACAUCUAGGAGAAGAGCAAGUACAAAAGCCCUGGGGCUUGGAGAGCCACCAGGAGGCCUUUUGUGGAAAAAGUGAUGAGUUAAGAGGUGGCUCAGCCAGAGCUGCUGGAAGGAAGAACUGUAGCUGUGUUUUGCUGAAACAGAAAGAUUGUGGGAGGAGCAGCUUUGUUAGGGAAGUAACAGAAGAUGGGAAGACCCAGAAGCCCAGAAUUCUAUCAAGGACCAACUCAAACCAAGCUAUUCCAUUUUCACAUGAAUGAUUACGACAGAGUGCAGCAGACCUGCCCACUUCUGCUCUGGUUCCCUGAAAUCUGUUCUCAACACCACUUCUCCACUCAAACUCCACAGUGGCUUCCUUCCUCCCACUCAAAGUACAAGGCAAGGUUCUAACAAUAGCCUAUGAGGUGCUACAACCUUUGUUCCCC